GUGGUUCUUUCAGCCCAAAGGAGCACCAAAUACAAAAUUAACCAUCAUAUUUAACGAAGCAGCAGAUACUGAUGUAUUCUGUACACACUCUGUUCUAUCAUUCAUUAUCAAACAUAAACGGAUUGAAGUCAGAUGGAAAAUCAAAAUGAAAAUAGCGUAUAUUGGGGCUACGGAAAUACCUGUACUGAUUGCAUUCACUUUUGCCAUUACUAAAGAUUACUUCAGCAUCCGACCAGUAUUGCUCGCCACUAUAUACAACAUUUUACGGGUUAAAAAAAUAUUUGUUUAUUAUGGGAUAUAUCUGUUUGCAAAAUAAAUUAGAAAAUAGAAACAAAUUA